AUGAAGAGGCUGCUGUGCUCUCUGCUGGGGCUGCUGUGCACCCAGGUUUGCUGGGUGAAAGGGCAACAAGUGAAGCAGAGUCCUGAGUCCUUGGUUCUGCAGGAGGGAGAGAGCACAGAGCUGCAGUGCAACUUUUCCGCCUUUACAAACCAAAUGCAGUGGUUUUUCCAAAGCCCUGGGGGACACCUCAUCAGCCUGUUCUCCAAUCCUUCUGGAACAAAGCAGAAUGGAAGGCUGAAGUCCACGACAGUCACUCAGGAACGCCGCAGCUCUUUGUACAUUUCCUCCACUCAGAGCACAGACUCAGGCACUUAUUUCUGUGCUAUGGAUCCACAGUGCUCCCCAUACACCUGCAGCCAGUACACAAAUCUUCAGUUGGCUCAGGACACUGUUGAGUGUGAAGACCUUAUUUGUCCACAGAGGGGCAGUGCUGCUUCAGAGCAGAUGAAGGUUGUGAAUCCUCCACCUACUCCUGGAUAA